rnacentral:rRNA from 1 species
GAGCGGCCGAUGUCCGAUUAGCUUGUUGGUGGGGUAACGGCUCACCAAGGCGACGAUCGGUAGCUGGUCUGAGAGGAUGAUCAGCCACACUGGGACUGAGACACGGCCCAGACUCCUACGGGAGGCAGCAGUGGGGAAUUUUGGACAAUGGGGGAAACCCUGAUCCAGCCAUGCCGCGUGAGUGAAGAAGGCCUUCGGGUUGUAAAGCUCUUUUGGCCGGAAAGAAAAGGCCACGGAUAACACCCGUGGUCCUUGACGGUACCGGCAGAAUAAGCACCGGCUAACUACGUGCCAGCAGCCGCGGUAAUACGUAGGGUGCGAGCGUUAAUCGGAAUUACUGGGCGUAAAGCGUGCGUAGGCGGUCCCCCAAGUCCGCUGUGAAAGCCCCGGGCUUAACCUGGGAAUGGCAGUGGAAACUAUGGGACUUGAAUCUGGCAGAGGGGGGUGGAAUGCCACGUGUAGCAGUGAAAUGCGUAGAGAUGUGGCGG